CGCUAGCCCCGAUGGAAGCGGUAUCCUUUUUCCUGCUUCUUUAGCAGGAAAAAGAUAUAGCGGACAGCGGGAAAGUUA
rnacentral:sRNA from 1 species